AUUGAACGCUGGCGGCAGGCCUAACACAUGCAAGUCGAGCGGAUGAAGGGAGCUUGCUCCUGGAUUCAGCGGCGGACGGGUGAGUAAUGCCUAGGAAUCUGCCUGGUAGUGGGGGAUAACGUCCGGAAACGGGCGCUAAUACCGCAUACGUCCUGAGGGAGAAGGUGGGGGAGCUUCGGACCUCACGCUAUCAGAUGAGCCUAGGUCGGAUUAGCUAGUUGGUGGGGUAAAGGCCUACCAAGGCGACGAUCCGUAACUGGUCUGAGAGGAUGACCAGUCACCCUGGAACCGAGACACGGGCCAGAGCCCCACGGGGGGGCACAGUGGGGAAUAUUGGGCAAUGGGGGCAAACCCUAUGCAGCCAUGGCGCGUGUAUGGAAGAAGGUCUCCGGUUGUUAAGUACUUUUAGGUGGGAGGAAGGGAAUGUAGUUUAAACCUUGGCUGUUUGACGUUAACCAAAGAAAAAGCACCGGCUAACUUCGUG
rnacentral:rRNA from 1 species